rnacentral:rRNA from 1 species
UACAGAGGGGGCAAGCGUUGUUCGGAAUUACUGGGCGUAAAGGGCGCGUAGGCGGCUUAUCAAGUCAGGCGUGAAAUUCCCGGGCUCAACCUGGGGGCUGCGCUUGAUACUGAUUGGCUUGAAUGCGGGAGAGGAUAGUGGAAUUCCCAGUGUAGAGGUGAAAUUCGUAGAUAUUGGGAAGAACACCGGUGGCGAAGGCGGCUCUCUGGGCCUUACCUGACGCUGAGGAGCGAAAGCGUGGGUAGCGAACAGG